CCAGUUGGCCGGGCAGCCGCGCCUUGCAAGUGCCGAAAGGCCGCAGGGGGAGGAAAGUCCGGGCUCCACGGAAACACGGUGCCGGAUAACGUCCGGCGGGGGCGACCCCAGGGAAAGUGCCACAGAAAGCAAACCGCCUUCCUCGGAAGGUAAGGGUGAAAGGGUGGGGUAAGAGCCCACCGCGGCCAUGGCGACAUGGACGGCAAGGUAAACCCCACCGGGAGCAAAACCGAAUAGGGAUGACGCGAAGCGCGCAAGCGCUUCAGCCUGUUUCCGGGCCGGUCAUCCGGGUGGGUUGCAAGAGGCCGGGCGCAAGUCCGGUCCCAGAUGAAUGGCUGCCACGUUCCGGCGAAAGCCGGAGCCAUACAGAACCCGGCUUACAGGCCAACUGGCAAA
rfam:Shinella sp. DD12 SHLA_21c, whole genome shotgun sequence.